ACAAAUAAGAAGAAAGUAAUCUAAGUAACUGAAGACUGUUUGACAUCUGCGUACCAACAUUCAACCUUUACCUAUGAUGAUGUCCUGAUUAAAUAGUCUUUUCUCAACUCUAACAUAUUUUAAGUAAUUGACAAAAAUAUAUAAAAGAUGUUUGAAGUCAUUAAUCUUUUAAUUAUAUUUCUCAUUUUUACUUCUUCAGCCCAAAAGAAAGCAAGACUGCCACAGAGAGUGAAGAAGCAGAUAUUUAUGCUGUGCCACAAAAGAAGAGAACCAGAACAUCGGAUUCAGUCAUUGAAUGUGUCUCUUAUGUGGACCAGCCUCCGUUGACCUAUGCAGACAUCACAUUGAAGAGGGAACCCAGGAACAGCAAUCUGACAAACAAAGAAAAAUUGAUCUAUCAGCAAUUACCAUCAACAGAAGACUGCAUUUUAAGCAGACAUACUGAACCAGAUGAGCCUGUGUCCACCAUUUACAGUGUUGCCAGAAUGCCAUCACAGUAGAGCAAUACAACAAUG